CCUGGGUAAAAGUGGAGCAGCAAAUGUAGUGCGGAUUGGGAAGUCCAGGACAUCCCAAUGGCUGGGAUGGGGAGGCUGCUUGGGGGCUGAGCUCUCCCACAUGUACCAACACUUAGAUGUGCUCCUAUUGGGAGGAGGACUGCUGCAAACCCUUCGGGGUGGGAUGCGGGACAUCUGAGCCUUGGGAAAGGCCCUCCCAUGAUCGUGUUUGCAUCCCCACAUCCUCCUGGGUAUGGACGAGAGAGCUCCAACUCCUUCAGGCUCUCACUGAUCCUCAUUGGAGUCCCCACAUAGGCAUGAAGGAAACUAAUCACAGGCAGUGCCGAGCUGGGCUGGAAGGAACGAGCCCAAACGCCGCCCGCUCGGCAAGCUAAACGCGGAUCUCGCAAAAUCAUCUCUCGAUGAAGAUUUUUUCACUAAAACCAUGGGAGAAGUUGGGAUUUUCUUUGGUUCGACCCCAAUAGGCAUUCACUGCUGUUUGUCAGACCUUCACGCUGGGCAGGUGUAACCAUCACAGAACAAGCACACAGUGUGGCAGCACAUGGGAGCACUCUGGAGCAGAAUUCUUUCUGGAAGAGGAAAGUGUAGGGCAUGGUGGACACAGCAACUGGAGGAAAAAAAGAAAGGAGCUGAUGAAGCGUAUUUGGAAAAGGAUCUGUCCCUCUAUGAUGUCAACACAUUUUUCUGCAGAGCUCUUUGUAUGAUGUUGCCUACCUGUAAGACAAAUUGUCUUUGUCUCGCCGUUAGAGUUCUUGUGCACCUGCGUCGAUAACUUCAUGUAGAAUACACCAAGAGAUAGCUUUUAUAUCAUGGCAUGGGGACCCACGUGCCAGUGGUCCACACAGUAGGGUGUAUAUGUUGAAAUUGACAGAUAUGGCCAUUUCCUCCCUAGGAGUGACUAAUGCCAGAGGGCAACGGUAGUUCAUUAUGCCAUGCACUGUGUCAGGGAGGUGCCCCAAGCUUAUGGUGGCCAGAAUCCCUACGAGUGAAGAACUUUUUGGUGAAUCUCCUGCUUUGUGAAGAUUGUCUUCUCAGCUGACGGAUGGAAACAUCCUGACUCAGGGAAACACAAUAAUGAGGGAUUUGUGUUUCCCCUUUGUUUGCCUUUUGCAGUGCCCAGGGGUUGGAUGUGCAGGAGCAAGUCCUUGGCCCUUCUACAUGAUGUAAAUCUACCAUAUUCUCUGUUUGUUGAAAGCAACCAGGAAGGUAUUCAGGGCCCAAGAUUCCAGUUUAGGAAGUUGUAGCAAUGAUGGGCAUCUUCCCUACUCAUUGUUUGAAAGAUUGUGAUAACAGCAACAGAAAUAAUGGCAGUCAAUGAGAAAUGAAGUUCUUAGUUCUUCUGUGCAUCAGAAUACACUGCAAGCUGAUAAGCUGUGUAUGGAAAGCAUCACAGUAGUCUGUGUAGCAAAGUACAGCCAGGGAGUACACGUGCAGUGUGCUGAGGCAUUUUUAAGCAAUAUUUAAGAGGAAAAGAGGUAACCCCUAAUCUGCUUAUCCAGUGGUGCGUGGGUAAGCGUGCUGACGCUGAGGAUGUCCCUGGAGCUAUGGCAGUAAGAAGGGAAAGCAGGGAACCUCAUUCCAGGUUAUGAAAGAACAUAAUAUGCAGGAGUGUUUUAUGUAAGUCUACGAGGAGGGAAAAUGGAUGAAAAUAGGGGAAUGGAGUUGUAGUGACUGUUACACCCACAGAAGAAGUUGACUUUAGAGGUGGUCAUAAUGUGAAUUUCCUGUGUGUGCUGUGUUUGUAAUGUGUGAAAACAAAUUUAACUCAUCAGGUGGGAAAGUUCUUACAGAACUGAUGUCUGUGGACAGAAAGGAGUUUGUAACACAGUUAAGAUGCUGCAUGUACAGAACAAAAUUUCCCUGGACUUCACUGGGCUUUGGAUCAGACCUUCCUUCUGAAUUAAAAAAAAGAAGAGUAUCACAUAAAUACAGUAUUCGUUUUGCAGAUAUUCUGCUUCAAACAGUGUAACUGAGUUCAGCCACUCUGCUUUUAUUAUUAUGACAAAUAUCUCCACAUUAGCAUAAGGGAAAACAAGGGGUGAAAUGCCAGGCGUGCUCCCACGCAUCUGAACCAACAGAAUCGCUCUCUGCAUUUUGCAGACCUUCUGCAUGAAUCAUUAUGCCCAUUCUGUGUAAUAAAUAAUAAUAAUAAUUUGUGAUGUAAAAAGUGCUCUCAAGAGAACUUUGUUUUAUUUAGCAUUUAAUAAAUGUAUUCAGCAAGGACUGCCUUGCCUAUACACGUAUAUGCUAUAUCCGUAUUUGUGUGCCUCAUGCAGCAAAGCUGCUACCUGCUAAACACAGAUCUAUACUUCGGCCACGUGAGAAUGCCCCACUCAUCAGCUCCACUUGUUGCACCUCUCCUGGGAUGGCCAAAUCUCUCACAAAUGUGCAGUUUUAUGAGCAUCCCUCGGCACGACAGGCGUCACACAGCACUGCAAAUUCAUGAACGAAACGAACUCACUCCAUCCUCUCUCUGGAUCUGCAUGGAGCCUCUCACAAUGGGGCUGUGAUUUAUUUGGGGCCUCUGGGUAUGACUGCCAUACAAGUAGUAACUAAUGACAACAGACCAC
ensembl:lncRNA